rnacentral:rRNA from 1 species
GUAGGUGGCAAGCGUUGUCCGGAAUUAUUGGGCGUAAAGCGCGCGCAGGCGGUCCUUUAAGUCUGAUGUGAAAGCCCACGGCUCAACCGUGGAGGGUCAUUGGAAACUGGAGGACUUGAGUACAGAAGAGGAAAGCGGAAUUCCAAGUGUAGCGGUGAAAUGCGUAGAGAUUUGGAGGAACACCAGUGGCGAAGGCGGCUUUCUGGUCUGUAACUGACGCUGAGGCGCGAAAGCGUGGGGAGCAAACAGGGAUUAGAUACCCUGGUAGUCCACGCCGUAAACGAUGAGUGCUAAGUGUUAGGGGGUUUCCGCCCCUUAGUGCUGCAGCUAACGCAUUAAGCACUCCGCCUGGGGAGUACGGCCCGCAAGGCUG